GCGCAGCAGUCGAGAAACUUUACAAUGUGCGAAAGCACGAUAAGGGAACUCUGAGUGCCUCCUAAGGAGGCUGUUCAGGUGUCUAAAAAGCACCUGGAGUAAGGGCUGGGUAAGACCGGUGCCAGCCGCCGCGGUAACACCGGCAGCCCAGGUGGUAGCCACUUUUAUUGGGUCUAAAGCGUCCGUAGCCGGUUGAGUAAGUUCCUUGGGAAAUUUGGCUGCUCAACAGUCAAGCUUCCAGGGAAUACUGCUCGACUUGGGGACUGGGAGAGGUCAGAGGUACUCCAGGAGUAGGGGUGAAAAUCCAUUAAUCCCUGGGGGACCACCGGUAGCGAAGGCGUCUGACCAGACCAGGUCCGACGGUGAGGGACGAAGGCUAGGGUCGCGAACCGGAUUAGAUACCCGGGU
rnacentral:rRNA from 1 species